UUCUCGGUUCCUCGCAACGAGGUCUGGUUUACCCGGUCAGGUUCGGAAGAAAGCAGCCAAAGUCAGAUUUUUCGUGUGCCGAGAUCAAGCUGGGAAGGU
rnacentral:SRP_RNA from 2 species